rfam:Mycobacterium iranicum strain H39 scaffold_0, whole genome shotgun sequence.
ACACAGGGAAGGAGGUGGUCCGACAAAUUGAUUGACUUAUGGACAUGUGAGGUGGCUGCGAGCUAGCAGCGCUGGGAGAGCGCUCGUCGCACCUGUGCGCGCUGGCGAAUUCCCCGCAGUCACCCGGCCCCCGAGCCUUCUGGUCUUGUCCGACCUGGAACCACGGCUCGGGGGCCGCUCCAU